rnacentral:lncRNA from 1 species
AACAAACAAAGCCAUAACAGAACAAUUUUUUAUAAACAAAUUGAAUUAACGGAAACAAAAGGGAGAUUUUUAACUGAUCAAUGCAUACAUCAAAUGGCAACAACAAAUAAGAUUACAUGUAAUUGAUUAUAUUUUACGGAUACAUAAUUCAUAACAAGCAUUUUUUUGGUACAUCACAAGAAGCCACACACUAUGAAAUCACAAGGAAA